rnacentral:rRNA from 1 species
ACUCCUACGGGAGGCAGCAGUGGGGAAUAUUGCACAAUGGGCGCAAGCCUGAUGCAGCCAUGCCGCGUGUAUGAAGAAGGCCUUCGGGUUGUAAAGUACUUUUCAGCAGUGAGGAAGGUGGGGUACGUUAAAUAGCGUGCUCGUUUUGACGUAGCUGCAGAAAGAAGCNCCGGGCUAACUCCGUGCCAGCAGCCGCGGUAAUACGGAGGGUGCGAGCGUUAAUCGGAAUUACUGGGCGUAAAGCGCAUGCAGGUGGUUUGUUAAGUCAGAUGUGAAAGCCCGGGGCUCAACCUCGGAAUAGCAUUUGAAACUGGCAGACUAGAGUACUGUAGAGGGGGUAGAAGUUUCAGGUGUAGCGGUGAAAUGCGUAGAGAUCUGAAGGAAUACCGGUGGCGAAGGCGGCCCCCUGGACAGAUACUGACACUCAGAUGCGAAAGCGUGGGGAGCAAACAGGAUUAGAUACCCUGGUAGCUACG